UUUCCGUAGGUGAACCUGCGGCAAGCUCAUUA
rnacentral:rRNA from 1 species